UAUCUACACUGGAGAGGGAAAAACAACAUGGUGGGUUCUGCAGAGAAAGGGGGAGCCAAACACAGUCGCUUGUGUGUCACCUCGGGAGCAAUGGCCGGCGCUUCUUUUUCUCUCGUCCGUCUCCAACUGUGUUGUAUAUAUAUAUAUAUAGAAAAAAGACGUUAUUGAUUUUCACUUCCUCCAGUCUGUGUGUGUGUGUGUGCUGUCUAGCUCUCUCUGUGCUACGUCGCGGCUGCUGUGGAGGAGAAACAUAAGACGAUCGGUCCCGCGAGAAUCGAAAGAAAAAUGUUUUCCUUUUUUUCUUUCUAUCUGCUUUCGCCUGUAUACAUCUGUGUAGAGCCUGCGUCGUUCCGGAUAAAGACGACGACAGUCUGGCGGAUCAACCAGAUGGAAUAGAAUAACGGAGCGCGGCUGUCUAUAAAAGAGUUGAUUUCCAGUUGUGAGCUGUUGUCUUCUAUAUACGUCUUCCACGCACACAGCACAUAUAAAGGGACGUAUCAAGUAUUUAUUGUCUAAAAAAAAAAGAAGAUUGGCCGCACCGGCAACGCCCUGUCGUUUUAGAUUGCGCGCGCUUUUAGGUCGAGAUGUCAAAUAGGCCUAUACAUUAUAUAUAUAGGCUAUACUAUAGAGAGAUAUCCACCCCUUUUUCCCCUGUUCAGCACUGGACUCCUCCCCCCUUAUAUUGUACACUAUACCGAGCGCGCCUAGAUUAUAUUUAUAUUUGAAAAAUAGAAAACUCCGAGGCCGAGAAUCUCUGGUCGGCCUUUUUUGGAUUUUUCUUUUUUGCACCCCAGCAGCAGGAGCACCGGUUCAAAUGUUCAUCAUUUAUAUUAGAUGUAUUAGGGCCUCCCCCCUGCUUUCUUUUCUUCCUUGUUGUCACUAUAUUUAUAUAUUCAAUGUGAGGAUCCACACACCCCUUGACUUUAUAUUCGUUUAAUAUAUCACAAAAGCUUCGAGACUUUUUCUAACUAGUCACAGCUGCUGCUGGUCUUGGUGAUGGCCUAUGUGGUCGUUCUAUUCGCGAUAAUAGACUCAAAGAGCCUCGCUCAUCCCAACACAGGAAGAAGAAAAAAGACGAUCGUGAGGGGAUCAAGUGAUUUCCAUGAAUUUCCAUUUGAUUUUUUCGUUUGUGUGUGUGUUGUUGGUCGGACCCAAAGUCGAUAGUGUGUCUAGUCAAAGAUAGAAGAAAAAACACUACCGGUAGCUAUUAAAGAAACACGGGGGGCCCCACACACACACAGAGGGUGGUCGAUAUUAUCAUAUGGGCGUGGCCGCUCUCGUCUGCUGCUCUUCUCGGUUUAAAGAUAUUACGCAUAAUAGAUUGCGCCACACACUCUGCUCUCGCUAAUCCCUCGGCUGCUCCUAUGUUUUCCUUUUUCUAUACAGACAGGACAUGUCCGCCAGCAGCGCUCCCUCCGUCGAUAGGGCCUAUAAUAAUCUAAAACGAAUGGCCGCGGAGCCCCUUUUAAUCCUUUUUUUAAAUUAUUCAAGAGUGUAAAAGAGAUUUUCAAGUGUCAAAAUAGAUAAGACUUUUUUUCAAAAAAGAAGAAGAACUGGCCCUUCGCGCGUUAUAUUUCGGACAGCAGCAAAGUGACGAGUUCAAGCCUUCAAGUGUUUGGCCAGAUCCCCUUAAAAUGUUGAGCUCCCGCGUAUAGUAGCCGUAGUAGUAGCCAUAAGAGUUAUAUAUUUCUAUAUAGUGCCCCGCGCAUAUAAUGGGAUAAUACAAGAACCUCUUUUGGAUAUCUGACGCCCGUUGAUGAGGGACGCGCACCACUCACAUCAUCUCUCGCGUCCAUUUUUAUUUUUAUAAAUUAUUUUAAAAAUAAAAAAUUGGAGGGGCUGUGCUGUUGAGGGCGGCACAGAAGCGCGUGCUGACUAUUAUUUAAGCGGCUGUUGGUUUUAUUUUUCGUUCGGAAAAAAAGACAAAACAAAAAGCAGACGACCUCACACACACGACACCAUCUUGCGACUGGGUUACACUGAACAGAAAGGGCGUAGAUAGAGUGUGUGCAGAGAUAAUAAUAAUAUGAAAUAAGCCAAAAACAGCUGGGAAUAAGAGACUUUUCAUUUGUACAUGAUUUGCCUUUCUUCUUCUUUCAGAGUCAAAGAGUUGCAGAGAUAAUCACAAGUGCCGUGCGAGAGAGAGAGAGGGGAGGUCUCGCACCCGCGAUGAUCGACGCCCUCCAUAACCGAACACAGUUGCUCUCCGGCGCUGCAAUUUGAGCAUCAACAGAAAAAAAAGAAAGAAAAAAGAAGCAGCCGCAGAAGCUCAAUAUAAUAUCGAGUGAAAACGCUUAGAGGUCAAACUCUGAUGGUUACCAAAUGGCCCCCCACCACCACUCUUCUUCUUCUUUGGCUAUGUGAAAAAAUAAAAUGUCAAGAGCUCUAUAUAAUAGACCAGGGCCAAGUGGCAACCUCUCAAUAUGUCCUUAUUAUAUAAUCUAGACCUCUUAACAAAAAAAUAAAAAAAUCUAAGAAAUUCCAGCAGCAGCAGCAACAGCAGUCGAAUAUAUAUAAAAUGAAAUAGAAAUAACACGACACGGUGGGGGCAAGUGCAUGGGAAUUUCCUGCCAAACGGAAACGAGUUCUCCUUUUUCUUUUUUUUUUUUCAAAAAUGUUUCGUUUGAAGAGGUGGGGGAGGGGGGGGAUUGUGUCGUAACAUGUAACAGAGGCGACUGCCAGUCGAAGAUGAGGACACACAGCGUGGCGCCGAGACCAGUUAACCUCCCCGGUGUACAGGAGAAACACUGACGACACAUUUGCUGCUAUAGCUGUGCUCUAUACAUGCGGGGUUUCAAAUGAUUAUAUCAUUUGGACACGGAGGAGACUAAACUCUUUUUCGUCUUUUUCUUUUUCUUUUUUUUUCCACCAGUCAACCACGACACAUAUCGACACGCACAACAUUAUCAUCACAGACUCCUGCUGUGCUGAGCGCCGCUAUCGAGUUGCUCCUGCUGCUGCUGCUGCUGGAUCCUGCCUGGUAGCAGCUCGUAAAUAUUCCAUUCCCCGCAGGAGUCACAGCGACCAGCAGGAGCAGCAGCACUCGGUCCGUAAUGUGUAUAACCUCGUAGUAAAACUGUCGACGAUUUAUCCCUUCCUCAUCGGCGGACAUUUCCGCAAAACCCCCCCGCAGCACCAGCAACACACACUCUUAACUAAAAAUAGCCGAAAACUAUUUGUCCGACAUUUGGGAAAAAAUAUACAGACAUCUAACUUUUUGAUUUUUUAAACGUCGCGCGGUGUUAAAUGUCGACCGACCGACCGACUUUUAAGGCGGGAAAAUACAAAUUUUCAAAUCGA